CUUGUUGUUCUUCUCUGGACCCUCUCCAAUUUCUCCACAUCUUUCUUGAAAUGCGGUGCCCAGAACUGGUCUCAACUGGAGUAUUGUGUCCUAACCAGCGCAGAAUAGAGUCUGAGACAAUGACAAACAUUGAAAGGAACCCCACGCACCAAAUGAUUUCUCAGUUGCACAGUUUUGCUGCUACUGGAGACAAGAUCAGAUUGACAGCGCUAUGCAGUCAUUCUCCAUCCCUUAUCAAUGAAGCUGCUGAGAAUGGUUGGACAGCCUUGAUGUAUGCUGCCAGAAAUGGACACUUUGAGAUUGUACAAAUUCUUCUUGAAAAAGGGUGUGACAGGUCCAUUGUCAAUAAAUCGAGCCAGACUGCACUAGACAUUGCUAAAUUUUGGGGAUAUAAGCAUAUAGCUAAUUUACUAGCAAAUGUUAAGGGUGGACAGAAGCCUUUUUUCCUGCCAAACGAUAAAAUAGAGUAUGAAAAUUAUUUUAGCAGGACACUUCUGGAUAGAAGGAGUGAUAAAAGAACAGAUUCUAAAUGGUUAAACACAAAACAAAACCAUCCAGCCACGGUAUACAUCCUUUUCUCAAAUUUAAACCCAUUGGUCACUUUGGGUGGAGGGAAAGAUGGCUCCCAGCAGCCUGAAGUCAGGCUUUGCAGGCUGUGCCACAAGGAUGUAAAGGAAUACAUGAGCCAGACUGAAAAAGUCACCUUGAUUUUUCUUGGAGUAGAACUUCAGUUGACUACUCUGAAUGGAGGAAUUCUGAAGGAAGAUGAAGAAGAUGGACUGGUUGCUUGGUUUGCCCUCAGCAUAGAUGCUACCUUUGCUGAACAGUUUAAACAGAGGCAUGAAGACUGUUAUUUUCUUCAUCCUCCAAUGCCUGCACUGCUGCAGUUGCCUGAAAAAGAAGCUGGAGUAGUAGCCCAGGCUAGAUCUGUUCUAGCAUGGCAUAACCGAUACCAAUUCUGUCCAACAUGUGGCAGUGCAACCAAGAUUGAAGAAGGAGGCUACAAGACAACCUGCUUAAAAGAAGACUGUCCCAGUCUUCAAGGUGUUCACAAUACAUCGUACCCAAGAGUUGAUCCUGUAGUGAUUAUGCAAGUCCUUCAUCCAGAUGGGAACCAGUGCCUUUUAGGCAGGCAGAAGAGGUUUCCUCCUGGCAUGUUUACCUGCCUUGCUGGAUUUGUAGAGCCUGGGGAAACAAUAGAAGAUGCUGUUCGAAGAGAAGUAGAGGAGGAGAGUGGAGUCAAAAUUGGCCAUGUUCAGUAUGUCUCUUGUCAACCAUGGCCAAUGCCCUCCUCCCUAAUGAUUGGUUGCUUAGCUGUUGCAGUGUCUACAGAAAUUAGAGUCGACAAGAAUGAAAUAGAGGAUGCCCGUUGGUUCACUAGAGAACAGGUCGUGGACGUUCUCAUUAAAGGAAACCAGCGUUCUUUCUUUGUGCCACCGAGUCGAGCUAUUGCACACCAGUUGAUAAAACACUGGAUUGGAAUGAAUGCUAAUCUUUAAAUUCGAGGAACUGAGUUCUUUGAGUUAAAUUACUGUUUCCAGUGACUGCUAAUGUAAAUAAAUUAGAAAUUUGUUGGAGUGGGACAGUCAUCCACUGAUUACCCCAAACAAAAACGUCAAUAUUAAAGUAUAAUUUUGAAGGUUUUUUUAUAAUCGGGUUAUUCUGCCCUUCGCUAUCCCUCCUUUUAUUUUCCAGGACUCGUCUGAGCUCUUCUAGAUCUACUAUUUUUGUUUGAGACAUUGUUAAAAUCAGCCGUGGUGUAAGUUGUGACAACUCCGCUAAUUAUGCCUGCUGUGUCUGAGAUUCUUUUCCUCUGUGUUUACCUGCAAUUUUGUUGUUUGUUUUUCCUUUUUCUCUCCUGUUUUCUCUUUCUUGUUCUAUACCUUCCUCACUUUCCCUUUUUUAUCCUCCCUCCCUUUUCCAUGCUCCCCUCACUUUUGGCCGUUCGUCACUCCUUCCUACCCCAACGAACACUUAGCAUUACACUUUAGCAGCAAUGUUAGCAUUUAAUUCUAGAAGCUCUAUUAGCAACAGGUAUCACAUGUUGGUAGUACAUUCAUUAGAAGCUAGGUGUGUAAUGCUUUUUAUAGCUUAUAUGAUUAGUGUUGCUGAUGCUAGAGUUUGAGCCAGCAAUCUUGUGUGGAUCCUGUCACCUCAUUAACAUAUUGUCCAAACAUUAUUUUAAAGACCUUUUGCAAUAUUGUGUUUGCAAUAAAUGGGGGUGAGGAUGGCUGCUCCAGAAGCCUAAAUAUUAGAUACUGUUAUAAGCAGCCACAGACUUGUUGACUGGUAGACAGCAAACAAGAUUGCAGUUGAUUGGCUUCUUUGGUCAGUGCAAAUUAGUGUAGAGACUUCAGAAGACAAGUAGAUUAAACUAGACAAAAAAGACACCAGAAUUAAUGACAGUUCAUCUAAAUACAAAAUAGUGUUUUUUAAAAUUUGAAGCAUUAAGGAAUGCUGCUUAUAUGAGUAAUAUAUAAUCAAAAAUGAUAGGUAACUUAAAAAUACCAAAUCUAAAUGUAAUGAAGAGAAGACAGCAUUUUUAAACAAUAAAAUAUUAAUUUAUUGAUGUAUGUUUAACAUUAGUAAUUUACGGUACUGUUUCAGAUUUUGUGCCUUAAUUAUAAAUUAGUGAGGAGAAUUCAAAUUACUUUCUUUCCAAAUGAAAGGCUAUAAAGUGUACUACAGUAGAAGCUCGUUUGCAGCAACACCUUGUAAGAGCAACUGCCGCUAACGAGCAACAUUUCCCCUGGGAACAAUUUCCUUACUGCUAUUUUUCCACUUGGUAACAG